rnacentral:rRNA from 1 species
UACGUAGGGGGCAAGCGUUGUCCGGAUUCAUUGGGCGUAAAGAGCGUGUAGGCGGCCAGGUAGGUCGGUUGUGAAAACUGGAGGCUCAACCUUCAGAGGUCGACCGAAACCAUCUGGCUAGAGUCCGGGAGAGGAGAGUGGAAUUCCCGGUGUAGCGGUGAAAUGCGCAGAUAUCGGGAGGAACACCAGUGGCGAAGGCGGCACUCUGGGCCGGUACUGACGCUGAGGAGCGAAAGCGUGGGGAGCGAACAGG